rnacentral:lncRNA from 1 species
GCGACGGCGGCUGCCGGCGGCGGAGGCCAUGGCUCACCCGUUCUUCGGCUGCCUGGGCCCGCGGGUCAGCGCCCUGCCCGACACCACCUCCAUCUUCGCGCUGAAGGAGAUCCAGCUGCAGAAGGAGCCGGGGCUGCGCGCGGCCCCCCUGCCCCCCCCAGGUUCUUCCGCCUUCCGGGUGCUCGACACUGAAUUCUGAUGCUGAGCAGCCCCUGGACUGCUGCUGCAACCCCCCAGGACCCCCCAAAACUGGGGGGGGUUGCCACAAAACUGGGGGGUGACGCCCAAGAUAAGGGGUCACCCCAGAACUACAGGAGGGCCCCCUGGACCGGUAACCACGGCCCCCCAAAAGACCCCCGAGGAACUGCUGCUGGAUUUUGGGGGGCGUCAUGUGGGACCCCCCAUUGGAGGGGGGUUUGGGGUCCCCCCUAUUUUUUUGGGGAGUUCCCUUGAGUCUGGGGUUUCUUCCCCCCAAUUUACUUCGAGUUUUAUUUUUUCAAGGCAAUAUUAUAAAUAAGAGUCUAUAUGGGUCCCUCCCCUCAAGGGGCGGGGCUCAGAGGGGGUGGAGCACAGCAGGGUGGGGCCUAGCAGGGGCAGGGCCACCCUGGGAGCAGUUUUGGGGCGGGGGGCGGGGAGGGUGAGUUACAGUGCCCUUCUGUGCUUACUCUGAGGUUACUUACACUCAACUCCAGGGUUACCCUGUUGUUAUUUGGGGCCUCAGCAUCUCCCAGGAGGUUCCCCAGCGUGGAGGGGCUUCCUCUGAGGUUGGUCCCACUUCACUCCAGGGUUACCCCAGGGUUACUCAGGCCCAACUCUGACUUUACUCCAGGGCAGCUCAGGCCCAGCUCCGUGGCCGUAUCUGCCCUACUCCAGCCUUAUUUCAUGACUCCUCAGCCUCUCCUUGCUCACUGCUGUGGUGUUACUCAGUUUCUACUCUUGAUUACUCAGAUGCUACUCAGCUGGGGCUCCCCUCCCUCCCCUGGGUUGCUCGUGGAGAUUAUUACUCCGAGCCUUCUUGGCCCUUAUGUUGAGGUUGGUUGGUACUUUACUCCUACCCAGAUUUUACUCCAGCGUUACUCAUGAUUGAGGGGGGUGGUCUUUACUCUGAGCUUUCUCAGCUCUUAGUCUGAAGUCACUUGAUACGUUGCCCCUAUUCAGAACUUACUCCAGGGUUCCUUCUGGGUGUCCUUACUUUGAGUUUACUCAGUCUGAGGUUACUCAGUACUUCUAGACAGAA